rnacentral:ribozyme from 1 species
UGCCCAGCAACUCCUAUCCCUACCUCCUCGUGGUACUGGCCGAGUAACCUUGGGGAAGAUCGGGUAACCAACCCCCGGUGGGAACUUUGGUCGUAUGCUGACAGGGAAGG